rnacentral:lncRNA from 1 species
GUAUAAAAUUUAAUUUACAGUGACACGUGGGCCCACGAACGACCAAAAGUAUCAAAAGCGAUAAACCUACAGUUUUUGAGGAUGCAAGUCUAAUUGUAGCCCUCAACAAAGUGAGCUAUCUACUGACUAUCCUGAACCUGAAAUGGGUGGAAAGGAAGGUGGUGAGAUUAUAUGAUCCCAGUGAGUAAACAAAUAUCAUCUAAAAUAUCUAAAGCUGAGUAAAUAGAGAUAGAUAAAAUAGAUUAGCAUAAAAAUGAUUCACAGCAUUUCGAACUCAUUUUAAUAAGAUAAAAUAGAUUCAUUUCACCAAAAUAAACAAUGAGGCUUAUGAUUUCCUGAAAAGUUUGGCUCGUGCUAAAAUCAUUAUCAUACUCAGUUAUCAGGGAUACUUUGGCUGAGGGCUAUCCCAACCGAGUCUGCAAGGCUGUUAAAAAGUUAUGUACGCAUAAAUCAUGUUUUUAUUUUGAAAACAUAGUCGUUCCUUUGUGUUGGCUGAGUUCACCCUCACGUGGCGGUUUGGCGUGAAGUGAACUCUAAAGUGUUAACCUCAGGAGUUAUCCAUCUGUGCCUCUCAUACUAAGGUAAGAACAUAAUAGGGUUACCGUGCUUCUCUAAUAAGCUAGUCCACAGAACCCGUCCACUGCAGCGACUAAUUUAUAACCCACCAAUUCAAUAAAAUUCAACAGCAUGACAUGGCAAUUAUUUUAUUUUACAGCCUCUCAAGGCAAAUCAACAAUUCAUACAUUUUCAGCACAUUUACCAAAUCCAGCCACUCAUGCCCACAUUAUCAUAAGCCAUUCAAUUCAAACCAUAAUUUACAACACAGCAAUCAGUCUCCAAUUACUCCAUUUUCCAAAACCAUCAUUCAAUUUCAAGACAAUUUUAUAAAAUCAUUUCAUGUAAUCACAUUUUGCUUUUAAAACAUAAAGAUUUACCAUUUAAACUCAUUUUCCAUAAAAUCACAAAAACGAAUUAAAAUUCACUUCAGAUAAUCAAGAUGAUGAUAAGGUUACUCACUGUAUCAGGAGUUUGAAUUUUGGAGUACUCUGACUAUUGAUCCUCGGGUGCAAUUUCUUUACUUUUGCCAGAAUGCUC